rnacentral:rRNA from 1 species
GACGAACGCUGGCGGCGUGCUUAACACAUGCAAGUCGAACGGAAAGGCCCUGCUUUUGUGGGGUGCUCGAGUGGCGAACGGGUGAGUAACACGUGAGUAACCUGCCCUUGACUUUGGGAUAACUUCAGGAAACUGGGGCUAAUACCGGAUAGGAGCUCCUGCUGCAUGGUGGGGGUUGGAAAGUUUCGGCGGUUGGGGAUGGACGCGCGGCUUAUCAGCUUGUUGGUGGGGUAGUGGCCUACCAAGGCUUUGACGGGUAGCCGGCCUGAGAGGGUGACCGGCCACAUUGCGACUGAGAUACGGCCCAGACUCCUACGGGAGGCAGCAGUGGGGAAUAUUGCACAAUGGGCGGAAGCCUGAUGCAGCAACGCCGCGUGCGGGAUGACGGCCUUCGGGUUGUAAACCGCUUUCGCCUGUGACGAAGCGUGAGUGACGGUAAUGUGUAAAGAAGCACCGGCUAACUACGUG